UUUUGGAGAUGUCUAUAAUAACCACUGCUUUAGCUUCCACCUUUUAGAGCUGCAGAAAUCAAGACCCUCAUGAAAAAUGGAGCCCUGGAAACAACCUCAUGAGGAGGAGAACGAGACGCAAACGGGAACCAGUACCAUAUUCCUGCAACACAAUGUUAGGUCCUGUGUGUGCAGAUACCAACCAUUCUCAGUGGCAGUGAAUUCACUGCGCUGCCCAGAAA